UACGGAGGGUGCAAGCGUUAUCCGGAAUUAUUGGGCGUAAAGAGCUCGUAGGCGGUCUGUCGCGUCGGCUGUGAAAUCCCGAGGCUCAACCUCGGGUCUGCAGUCGAUACGGGCAAACUGGAGUGUUGCAGGGGAGACUGGAAUUCCUGGUGUAGCGGUGAAAUGCGCAGAUAUCAGGAGGAACACCGGUGGCGAAGGCGGGUCUCUGGGCAACAACUGACGCUGAGGAGCGAAAGCGUGGGGAGCGAACAGG
rnacentral:rRNA from 1 species